UAGAGCUUUUCUUGAUGUCAGCCUCUACUGUUUUAAGCAUGCCACACAGCUCAUUCAGACCCUUCUCCAUCCCAUGCAUAUGGUAGUUCGAGAUGAAGUUCCCAUAGCUAGGCGGAAGAGACGAAAGAAUGAAAUCAGUGGCCAACUCUUGGCCCAGUGGGAAGCCUAGCUUCUCCAACCGUUGAGUGUAACCAACCAUCUUGAUUACGUG
rnacentral:lncRNA from 1 species